GACGAACGCUGGCGGCGUGCUUAACACAUGCAAGUCGAACGGAAAGGCCCUGCUUUUGUGGGGUGCUCGAGUGGCGAACGGGUGAGUAACACGUGAGUAACCUGCCCUUCACUUUGGGAUAACUUCAGAACACUGGGGCUAAUCCCGGAUAGGAGCUCCUGCUGCAUGGUGGGGGUUGGAUAGUUUCGGCGGUUGGGGAUGGACUGGCGGCGUAUGAGCUUGUUGGUGGGGUAGUGGCUUACCAAGGCUUUGACGGGUAGCCGGCCUGGGAGGGUGACCGGCCACAUUGGGACUGAGAUACGGCACAGACUCGUAUGGGAGGCAGCAGUGGGGAAUAUUGCACAAGGGGCGGAAGCCUGAUGCAGCAAAGCCGCGUGCGGGAUGACGUCCUUCGGGUUGUAAACCGCUUUCGCCUGUGACGAAGCGUGAGUGACGGUAAUGGGUAAAGAAGCACCGGCUAACUACGUG
rnacentral:rRNA from 1 species